ACAUGACAUUCUUAUCAAAAAAUUUACUGUUGAAUUAUAAAGUAUGAAGAUAAAUUAAUAAAAUUAAAAAUGGAUCCCAAUUCGGUAACACCAUAACAAUAAAUAUGGACAUAUUAAGAUGUCUCGAUUCAACAGAAGACUUCUGUCUUCUAACAAGUCUGAUGAAAGCAAGCUUGUUUGUUCUCGUCGCCGUUUUCCUACUGUAUUUACCACUUGGAUCACAAGAGAAGCAACCUUUAUCGAAGGAGAGCUCCCGAGAAAGCCACUUGGAGUCAUGUUUUUUGUGUGACGUGUAUGUUUACCUCGUUAAUGUUGCCAGCAAAAUGUUGGAGAUCCUGGAAGUGAUCAUAAAUAGUUUAUUUGGAAUUUUCAACUGGACAAAACAAUUGUCAACGGACAGCAUGUAUAAAAUCACGUCGACUUCAGACAGUGGACCUCCGGUUAAAUUCAAGGAGAGUAUUACUAAAACAGUAACAGAUAGUGGCCCCCAAGCUCCAAAGUCGAACACAAAGGAGUUGGAAUUGACUCGACAAAUAAAUAUAUCACCAAAACCGAAAAAGGAUAAUCCGGGAUUUUGCACGAAAGUGAAGGAGCUAAUGCAUAAGAGUAAAUCUUUAUGUAGUCUGAAAAAGAAGAAGAAGAGCCCUGCAGUGACGAACAAGAACUCGAUGAGUUCACUGAAGCAGACGGAUUCGUCCGCUUCGAGCCAGUCUUGUGCAAAAUGUAAAGCGAAAGGCGAACUUUGUCCAAAAAACUGUACGAAGAGUCAAACUAAAUAACAAUCGGGAAUAAAAUAUAGUUCAUGCGAUUGAGUUUGUUAAUAUUUUUAUUGUCAUUCAUUUUGUAUUAUAUUUGCUUAGAUGAAGGAUUGGUCCAACUAGAUACCGCCUAAGAACAAUAUCUAUUUUAUUACGGCAACAAUUACAUGCUUGUGUGCGUGGUAUCUUACUCAAUGGUAUCUUUCAAAUUUCUUAACAUAAGCUUCGUGUUAUUUUACAUUGAAAUUAAAUAAAUACAAAAUACUUACUGAUGAUAUGUGAUCCCAGUGUCUUUCUUAUUUCUUGUAGUAUUCUUUUUACAAAGUUUUAUAACGCAACCCGACAUUUUAGUUUCAAUUAUUAGCAAAGUUUAACAGAACAUGUGUCACACACUGUUCGGAACUGGCUCGAAUACUGGCCCAAUGGGUAGUUAGUAUUAGUUGCUACACUGAGACUACGCCUGCGGUAUCUAGUUGGAGUGCAGCGGAGGCAAAUCCUUAAUCGAAGUAUGAUUGUUAUGCUUUUUAUAAUAAACAACAACACAAC